UACAGAGGUCCCGAGCGUUGUUCGGAUUCAUUGGGCGUAAAGGGUGCGUAGGUGGCAUGGUAAGUCGGGUGUGAAAUCUCAGGGCUCAACCCUGAAACUGCACUCGAUACUGUCGUGCUCGAGUACUGGAGAGGAGACUGGAAUUUACGGUGUAGCAGUGAAAUGCGUAGAUAUCGUAAGGAAGACCGGUGGCGAAAGCUAGUCUCUGGACAGUUACUGACACUGAGGCACGAAGGCCAGGGGAGCAAACGGG
rnacentral:rRNA from 1 species